rnacentral:rRNA from 1 species
GAUGAACGCUGGCGGCAGGCCUAACACAUGCAAGUCGAACGGUAGCACAGAGAGCUUGCUCUCGGGUGACGAGUGGCGGACGGGUGAGUAACGUCUGGGAAACUGCCCGAUGGAGGGGGAUAACUACUGGAAACGGUAGCUAAUACCGCAUAACGUCGCAAGACCAAAGUGGGGGACCUUCGGGCCUCACACCAUCGGAUGUGCCCAGAGAGGAUUAGCUAGUAGGUGGGGUCAUGGCUCAACUAGGCGACGAUCCCUAGCUGGUCUGAGAGGAUGGCCAGCCACAGUGGAACUGAGGCACGGUCCAGAGUCCUACGGGAGGAAGCAGUGGGGAAUAUUGCACAAUGGGCGCAAGCCUGGUGCAGCCAUGCCGCGUGUAUGAAGAAGGCCUUCGGGUUGUAAGGUACUUUCAGCGGGGAGGAAGGCGGUGAAGUUAAUAACUUCACCGAUUGACGUUACCCGCAGAAGAAGCACCGGCUAACUCCGUGCCAGCCGCCGCAGUAA